UACGUAGGGUGCGAGCGUUAAUCGGAAUUACUGGGCGUAAAGCGUGCGCAGGCGGUUCGUUGUGUCGGCGGUGAAAGCCCCGGGCUUAACCUGGGAAUGGCCGUUGAAACUGGCGAACUGGAGUGUGGCAGAGGGGGUGGAAUUCCGCGUGUAGUAGUGAAAUGCGUAGAUAUGCGGAGGAACACCGAUGGCGAAGGCAAUCCCCUGGGCCUGUACUGACGCUCAUGCACGAAAGCGUGGGGAGCAAACAGG
rnacentral:rRNA from 1 species